rnacentral:rRNA from 1 species
ACGGGAGGCAGCAGUAGGGAAUAUUGGGCAAUGGAGGCAACUCUGACCCAGCCAUGCCGCGUGAAGGAAGACGGCCCUAUGGGUUGUAAACUUCUUUUAUCGUAGAGUAAACCUGCCCACGUGUGGGCAGUUGAGAGUAUACGAGGAAUAAGUAUCGGCUAACUCCGUGCCAGCAGCCGCGGUAAUACGGGGGAUACGAGCGUUAUCCGGAUUUAUUGGGUUUAAAGGGUGCGCAGGCGGCUUUUUAAGUCAGUGGUUAAAUCGUGACGCUCAACGUCAUCACGCCAUUGAUACUGGAGAGCUUGAUUGCGGUCGAGGUUUGCGGAAUUCGUUGUGUAGCGGUGAAAUGCAUAGAUAUGACGAAGAACACCGAUUGCGUAGGCAGCAGACCAGGCCGUAAAUGACGCUCAUGCACGAAAGUGCGGGGAUCGAACAGGAUUAGAUACCCUGGUA